CCUACGGGGGGCUGCAGUGGGGAAUAUUGGACAAUGGGGGGAACCCUGAUCCAGCCAUGCCGCGUGUGUGAAGAAGGCCCUCGGGUUGUAAAGCACUUUCAGUGAGGAAGAACGCCUGGUGGUUAAUACCCAUCAGGAAAGACAUCACUCACAGAAGAAGCACCGGCUAACUCCGUGCCAGCAGCCGCGGUAAUACGGAGGGUGCGAGCGUUAAUCGGAAUUACUGGGCGUAAAGCGCGCGUAGGUGGCUUGAUAAGCCGGUUGUGAAAGCCCCGGGCUCAACCUGGGAACGGCAUCCGGAACUGUCAAGCUAGAGUGCAGGAGAGGAAGGUAGAAUUCCCGGUGUAGCGGUGAAAUGCGUAGAGAUCGGGAGGAAUACCAGUGGCGAAGGCGGCCUUCUGGACCGACACUGACACUGAGGUGCGAAAGCGUGGGUAGCAAACAGGAUUAGAUACCCGUGUAGUC
rnacentral:rRNA from 1 species